UUAAUACCUUCUUUAAUGGGUAUACUUGUCAAAAACCUUUCUAAAUUCUCAUAAUAAUGGCAGACAAAGCCUGUCAGUGCAUUUAAUUCUCCGCCCUCGGUAGACGUGUGGCUGCAAAGGGAAUGUGGAUUUUCAGAUAAUGGAAGCCCUGUGACAGAAAGGGAGUGGACCGAACGUCCAAAUUGGUGGCCAUAUUUAAAAUUAAUUUCUCUCGGUGUCAAGAGCUUCAAUUUGCACCGAUCAUAAUUCCAUUCUGAACCGACUCUGGACUUUGGAAAAUCAUAGAAGUAGUUGCUGCCCAAGACCUUAGAAGUAUUAGCUGGAAUUAUAGAAGACGUUGUUGAAGAUACCUUGGAGGAUGUUUUACAGACCGCUCAGCCAGAGGAUGGUGUUCUUGAAGAUAGUGCAGGACCGUCCGAACCUUAGGAUAGGUUUUAAUUACUCCCCUUAUGUGUAGAACUGUUCGGUCCACCUUAUGUUUUGUAGGACCGUUCGGUAUACCUUUUGUACUUAGACCGAUCGAUAUUAUUAUGUGAAGCGUUCAGUCGUUUUGUGUACAU